rnacentral:rRNA from 1 species
CCUACGGGAGGCAGCAGUGGGGAAUAUUGGACAAUGGGGGAAACCCUGAUCCAGCGACGCCGCGUGAGUGAAGAAGUAUUUCGGUACGUAAAGCUCUAUCAGCAGGAAAGAAAAUGACGGUACCUGACUAAGAAGCCCCGGCUAACUACGUGCCAGCAGCCGCGGUAAUACGUAGGGGGCAAGCGUUAUCCGGAUUUACUGGGUGUAAAGGGAGCGUAGACGGCAGCGCAAGUCUGGAGUGAAAGGCCGGGGCGCAACCCCGGAACUGCUCUGGAAACUGGGAAGCGGGAGUGCAGGAGAGGGAAGCGGAAUUCCUGGUGUAGCGGUGAAAUGCGUAGAUAUCAGGAGGAACACCGGCGGCGAAGGCGGCUUACUGGACUGUAACUGACGUUGAGGCUCGAAGGCGUGGGGAGCAAACAGGAUUAGAUACCCGAGUAGUC